AGAGAGAGAGAGAGAGAGAGAGACUCCGCCAGUAAUUUCUUCAUUGUUACUCGUUCACAGACGGCAAGUUCUGUGACUCCCUCCCUCUCCCUCACCCUCGCCCUCACAAGAUGUCGGUGCAGAUAGAAAAAAAGGCGCUAUGAGUGUUCUGCCCUCCCGCGCGGCUGGAAAAGAGAGGAAGUGCUGAGGAAAACUGGGCUGACUUGCAGUAAAGUAGAUGUGUAUUAUUACAGCCCCAAUGGAAAGAAGUUCCGAAGCAAGCCCCAGUCGACCCGCUACCUCGGUGACACUGUUGACCUUUCCUUCUUCGAUUUUCGGACUGGGAAGGUCAACCCAAUGCUGGCGAGGAGGAACAAGAAGCCCCGUGGUACCCUCUUUGAUUACAGCAACUGGACGAUGAGUGGAGGAGGCUUGCCGUAGAAGAUCUGCCUGAAUCCAUUACCAACAUGGCGAAAAAAGUGGACAAAAGCAAUUACAACCAGCCUGAUAAAUUUUGGUGUGCCAUAAAAACUCUGGAGGAUAGUGAUGGAAAUCCCAAGUUUAAGCUUGUUUCAGACUUUUCACUAGGAUGUCUUUCUUUGCCUCAUGCUAAUGCUGACUGUGAGCGCUGCUUCUCUAGUGUAAACCGUGUGAAAACAAAAGACAGAAAUAAGCUAAAAACAGAAACUGUAAGAGACAUCAUCCUAGCGAAGCAGUGUGUUGCUUCCAUAUCCAGCAGUGACUGUACGACCUUCAAGCCAUCAAUCAAAGUCAAUGAUAAAAAAAAAAACAUGACAUCAAGAGUGCUAUAUUCCCCCAAUGAAGAGAGUGCCGGGGCUGCUGACAACGUGCCGGAUGUAUAUAUAGAAGAACAAGACCAGUAAUCUCCUACAUAGUAAGUAAACAACUUAACGAAGUGUCCUGUAGUUUUUCUCUAAUUAUUAAUGAUAUGUAUUCAGGAAAGUGUUUUGUUUGUUAAGGGCAUUGUUUUUUUUUUUUUUGUAAUAAAAA